rnacentral:lncRNA from 1 species
GGGCUUAUCCCCUUCAAAUCAGAAAUUUGCCAUCCGAUGGCCUUCUUGUGCUUUCUAAGGAUUCUUAGAAGAUUGUCCUCUUGUGAAACGGUUAAAGAAGAAGAAAUUACCACCGAGGCUUUAUUGCCUUCCUCCAACUAAGCAUACUUCAACUCGGCAGGAAGGGUCUUCAAUUCAAGCUUAAGGAUUGCAUCCUUAGCUUCUUUCAUCUCUUCCUCAUCCUUGAACAAAAGGAGGAUCACUGGCUUUUGUCUCCAGUUUGACAUAACGGCAUUCAUUCCCAUGGGUUCAGCUAACCCAUCAUCAAGAUCUUCAUGGCUUUCAUCUGAAUUCUCUUCAAACUGAUCAAGGAUACUCUGAUUACAAUGCUCCUCCACCAGGGUAUCUAUCAUACACACUUCUUCCGGGCCCUCAUCUUCUUCAGGAUGGAUGUGCUUUUGACAUAGAUGGAAGAUGUUGAGUUCCAAUGUCAUAUUCCCAAAAGUGAGUUGCAUGACCCCAUUCCUACAAUUGAUGAUUGCAUUGGAUGUUGCAAGGAAUGGUCUUCCAAGGAUGAUUGGAACAUAGUUGAUCCCUUUGACAAUGGGAUCCGUAUCAAGCACCACAAAAUCUACUGGAUAGUAGAAUUUGUCAACUUGAACCAAUACAUCCU